rnacentral:rRNA from 1 species
GACGAACCGUGCGAACGUUAUUCGGAAUCACUGGGCUUAAAGCGCGUGUAGGCGGAUGGGAACGUCGGCUUCUGAAAGCCCCCGGCUCAACCGGGGAAGUGGGGCCGAAACGACCCGUCUCGAGGGACGUAGGGGGAUCUGGAACUUCCGGUGGAGCGGUGAAAUGCGUUGAGAUCGGAAGGAACGCCCGUGGCGAAAGCGAGAUCCUGGACGUUUUCUGACGCUGAGACGCGAAAGCUAGGGGAGCAAACGGG